rnacentral:rRNA from 1 species
UGGGGAAUAUUGCACAAUGGGGGAAACCCUGAUGCAGCAACGCCGUGUGAGUGAUGACGGCCUUCGGGUUGUAAAGCUCUGUCUUCAGGGACGAUAAUGACGGUACCUGAGGAGGAAGCCACGGCUAACUACGUGCCAGCAGCCGCGGUAAUACGUAGGUGGCAAGCGUUGUCCGGAUUUACUGGGCGUAAAGGGAGCGUAGGCGGACUUUUAAGUGAGAUGUGAAAUACCCGGGCUCAACCUGGGUGCUGCAUUUCAAACUGGAAGUCUAGAGUGCAGGAGAGGAGAGUGGAAUUCCUAGUGUAGCGGUGAAAUGCGUAGAGAUUAGGAAGAACACCCGUGUCGAAGGCGACUCUCUGGACUGUAACUGACGCUGAGGCUCGAAAGCGUGGGGAGCAAACA